rnacentral:lncRNA from 1 species
CACAGUGCAGUGAUUUGACUUUUUUAUCAUUGUGAUCUUUUAGUCUGACCUCCUUUAUAACACGGUAGAGGAGACUUGGAUUAAUUAUUUCUUAAUUGAAGCAGAGUAGAGCUUCUGGAAAGAUGUCAUAUCCUGCUUUAAAAAUGAACAUGAUGGAGGUCCUGGCAGAAAAGUGGCGAAGGACUCCACUAAUGGUAUGCGCUCUCGGGCAGGUGAGUGGGAAUCAGCGACUCCCCCAGCCAAGGAACAGAGCUUACCCAGGAUCUGCAGCAGGAGAAGGAUGGAGAGAGCAGAGCUGCAGCCUGUAACCCACAGAACCAUCCCCAGUGGCCUCUCCAAGGGGAGCAGGCAGAAUCUCUCCCCACCAAGGUCACAUCACUUAAGGAGGAGUGAGAGCCUCUGCCACGCAAAGGAGUGA